ensembl:ncRNA Y105E8B.12 ncRNA
CACUUCGCUUACCUUGAAGUACUUGGGGGACGGCGAGCUUGACUUCCUUUGGCUUAUAUUGUUCUUCUUUGGAAUGGUGUAGACCUUUUUCUUUCUUUUCUUGGCUCCUCCGAGAAGCUCACAGUUGACGUAGAUGGU